ensembl:lncRNA
ACAUUCUUACAAGCUGGAGCAAUAUAGAUCGGAGAAUACUUUUCUUAAGAGCCAUCUGAAGAGACUGCGUGGCACCAUCAGAGGUGCUGCUACUCAGGAACCCUCAGUAUAUACACUCAGUAAACACAAGCUUUGUUUAUAUUCAGUCAGUAAUACAGAGGAGGUCCAUUUUCAAUAGCUUGUUUUGCAACAAAAGAGCUGACUGAAAACAUUGCUUGAACAUUUUCUCAAGCAUACAGUUGACUCAUUACGACACCUGACCUCAAGAUACUCAGAACACAGAAAUAUUGAAAUGAGCAAGAGGGUUAUAGCAUACGUCAGAGAAAGAGAAACGGGAUUAGCAACAGAAGUUUUGCCACAAGGCUGUAUUUAGACUGCAAGAGCAAAACAAAAGAACAAAGAACGUUGUAUUAAUCUAUUUUUGCUGAAAGCUUGAAAAAGCUCUUGUAUCAAAAAUCACCCCUCUAAGUUACGCUUGGUAUUCUCAUUAUAUAUUAUAUUAACUUUUUUUUUAUUAGCAAUCUUAUUAUUGUUGAUGUGCGCAAGAGUGGAAGCAUUUUAAAAAUGAACAGAAUGGGACUGCAAAGAGAACAAACCAGACAAAUUGUUACAGGUUAUUUACUGGCUUAGUAUAAAUCUGCAUAUAUAUUGAGGAAGUCAUUUGGGAAGCACCUUCAGGUAUGCCUCAAAAGACAUGAUUAUGAAGGUACUUGGAAGCCUUGUAUGCAUACAAUGGGCUACUACAAAUGAAAGAAAACAGUUCAAUUUGUCAAACAUGCUUAGGCAUCUGUUUCUAUUUGGGAAUUAUUGUAGUGUAUGUCUUAGAAGAAAAGGAAAUACAGACCUUGGCUUACGACAGAAGAGUAAACCACUGGAGUUUUUUGUAAAGCAGGAUUAUACUGAGUUUAAGAAUAAAAAUCCCAUAAUCUAAUGCGAUUUAGGACACAAAACUCCAUAUGCAAGUUUUCCCAACAUUGAUCACUUUUCACAAAUGAUUUUAGUUCCGCUGAAUAAAUCAUCCAAGAAUCAGAUUAUAAGGAUAAAAUGAAACUAGAGAGAAAGACAGAUAGCUUAAGCGCAUUAGAACAUAAAAUCUGCAGUCUAACAGUUUACUUGAAUGCUGCCCAUUUGAAAAAUUGAUGAUACAGCCUCUAAGAAUGCUUUCUCACGUACUUAUGGAAACCACAGUUACUGUAUGGGAAGUAAAACGCAGUUCUACUUAUUAGAUAUUGCACAGUCACCUUAAACAUUUCAUGUUAUAUUUUUGUGCAAAGUGUUUUUCACCAAAAGAGAAUAGUUGGAGAUAGUAUAAAAUUAUUUGGAGUCAGGACUAUAAUUAAUGUUUUAAUCCAUGUAAAGCCUGGGCACUAACAUUCAUAAAAAAAAAAGCCCCACAAAAUCAGGAUCAUGACUUCUGAAAAUUAGGUUGUUAUAUAUAAAGACUGCAAUCAAGCAAAAACUGCCUAGUUAAGAUAGGAAUGUUCUGUGCUUAUAUGAGAGAGGACAAUCAACCCAAAUGCACUUAAUUUUUCCUAUCUAUUUUAUGAUGCACAUGAGGGUCCUCUCACUUUUCAGAUGUUUGCCUCUGUAACUGAGAAGUUAUUUCUCAGGAAGAAAUACUAAAAUAAAAAUAGUGUGAGCU